UACGUAGGGGGCAAGCGUUGUCCGGAAUCAUUGGGCGUAAAGCGCGUGUAGGCGGUUCGGUAAGUCGGCUGUGAAAGUCCAGGGCUCAACCCUGGGAUGCCGGUCGAUACUGCCGGACUAGAGUUCGGAAGAGGCGAGUGGAAUUCCCGGUGUAGCGGUGAAAUGCGCAGAUAUCGGGAGGAACACCGGUGGCGAAGGCGGCAUCCUGGACCGGUAUUGACGCUGAGGCGCGAAAGCUAGGGGAGCAAACGGG
rnacentral:rRNA from 1 species